UGUUCUCCUUGAAGAAUGGCAUGAACUUUUGACCGUUAAAGCUUCUUCAAUAACCCCCAAUAUGAAGACAUGCCUAAAUAAUAUCAUUGGAGGUCUAACCACAUCUCAUCUCUACCAACGGAGGCAAUAGCAAGAUGCCUCCAAAUAGAGGAUGUGGAAUUAUCUGUAACGUGUAAAAGAUUACUUAUGCAGCGAAAGCGUUGUUUCUAGCAAGGCGUCAAUAUACAACGUGUAAGCCCUAACAGAGUGAAUAUUGGACAAGGCUACUGGAGCCUUUGACUCUUCUUCUUCACAAAAUCUCAACUGAUUAAAGGUUGGAUUUGCUCCCAAGGGAGAUCGCUGCUUCUCCUCCUCAACAUACUACCAAAGACCACUACCCCCUAAGCACAACCCUUAAAGAUUAAUGAUGCUCUGAUACCAUGUUAUUUAGCCAUCCAUCAAAGCUUUUCGUAUGCAAUUUGACGAAAACAUAAAAGAAAACACAAAGCAACACUGAAAGAAAGUGAGAGCAGAUGAGAGAAAAACAGAGGAGUAUGUUUUGGUGAGCAAAAACAGUGGGAGGUAAGUGAUUCAUUUCUUUGUUUAAUCUUAUAUACAAGACUAGUACAACAAUUAAAACAAGACAAGUGAGUGCUACAGCACGGCGGUCUUGUUUUACAGUCAAGACUGACUUAAAAGAAGUCAAGCAAUUCUUGCCAACUUACAGCGAAAGGUAAGCUGUGAAACAUGAAACGAUCUCUCAUGCCUCUUCAGAAAGAAGAGAUUCUAUAGCUUAUUAUCAUGACACAAAUUAUACAGAUUCUAGCAUUAUAAUUUUGUUAUACCAAUGCUUGUUUUCAUGGAUGUAUGAUUCUGAUUCCAAUUCCUUUCCAUUCUAAAAUCUUGGGUAAUUGUAAAUCGAAUUUGUAGGCAAAAGCAAUUGUUCUCUUGUUUUGCAGUUACAACCAGCCCCUUCACCUCCACCAUUCCCCGAUGGCUAGCUCCCCCGGCAACAGCAGAAGGUUUCCAGCAAACAGGAGAACUGCAGCUUCCGCCUGUUGAUCUCGUCAUUAUGUAAUUUAUCAUUGUACAUGAAUAUGCAUUUGAAAUGUGAUAAUUACUACUUUUCUCGAUGUUUCUGUUCGAUGGAUGACGUGAUUUCACGUCCCCGAAACACAUUUUCCAUGAAAAACAUGUGCUUAAUAACAUAUGACAAAUUUCAGAUGCUUA